rnacentral:rRNA from 1 species
UACGAGGGGGGCGAGCGUUGUUCGGAAUUAUGGGGCGUAAAGGGUGCGUAGGCGGUUCCGCAAGUCCUGUGUGAAAUCUUCGGGCUCAACUCGAAGUCUGCACGGGAAACUGCGGGGCUUGAGUGUGGGAGAGGUGAGUGGAAUUCCCGGUGUAGCAGUGAAAUGCGUAGAUAUCGAGAGGAACACCAGUGGCGAAGGCGAGUCCCUGGACAGGUCCUGACGCUGAGGCACGAAAGCUAGGGGAGCAAACAGG